rnacentral:rRNA from 1 species
AGAGUUUGAUCCUGGCUCAGGAUGAACGCUGGCGGCGUGCCUAACACAUGCAAGUCGAGCGAAGCACUUUGUUAGAACUUUUCGGAGGGACGAGGAAGUGACUGAGCGGCGGACGGGUGAGUAACGCGUGGGCAACCUGCCUUACACAGGGGGAUAACAGUUAGAAAUGACUGCUAAUACCGCAUAAGACCACAUUGCCGCAUGGCAGGGUGGUAAAAACUCCGGUGGUGUAAGAUGGGCCCGCGUCUGAUUAGGUAGUUGGCAGGGUAGAGGCCUACCAAGCCUACGAUCAGUAGCCGGCCUGAGAGGGUGGACGGCCACCUUGGGACUGAGACACGGCCCAAACUCCUACGGGAGGCAGCAGUGAGGAAUAUUGCACAAUGGGGGAAACCCUGAUGCAGCGACGCCGCGUGAGUGAGGAAGUAUUUCGGUAUGUAAAGCUCUAUCAGCAGGGAAGAAAAUGACGGUACCUGACUAAGAAGCCCCGGCUAACUACGUGCCAGCAGCCGCGGUAAUACGUAGGGGGCAAGCGUUAUCCGGAUUUACUGGGUGUAAAGGGAGCGCAGGCGGCGUGGCAAGUCAGAUGUGAAAACCCGGGGCCCAACCCCGGGAGUGCAUUUGAAACUGCCAUGCUGGAGUGCCGGAGAGGUAAGCGGAAUUCCUAGUGUAGCGGUGAAAUGCGUAGAUAUUAGGAGGAACACCAGUGGCGGAGGCGGCUUACUGGACGGUAACUGACGCUGAGGCUCGAAAGCGUGGGGAGCAAACAGGAUUAGAUACCCUGGUAGUCCACGCCGUAAACGAGGAAUACUGGGUACAGGGGGCACAAAAAAGAGCUUUUGUGCCGCAGCUAACGCAAUAAGUAUUCCACCUGGGGAGUACGUUCGCAAGAAAGAAACUCAAAGGAAUUGACGGGGACCCGCACAAGCGGUGGAGCAUGUGGUUUAAUUUGAAGCAACGCGAAGAACCUUACCAAGUCUUGACAUCCCGGUGACGCAGGCAGAAAUGUCUGUUCUUUUCGGAGCACCGGAGACAGGUGGUGCAUGGUUGUCGUCAGCUCGUGUCGUGAGAUGUUGGGUUAAGUCCCGCAUCGAGCGCAACCCUUAUUCUUAGUAGCCAGCAGGUAAAGCUGGGCACUCUAAGGAGACUGCCAGGGAUAACCUGGAGGAAGGUGGGGAUGACGUCAAAUCAUUAUGCCCCUUAUGAUUUGGGCUACACACGUGCUACAAUGGCGUAAACAAAGGGAGGGGAAGCCGCGAGGCCGAGCGAACCUCAAAAAUAACGUCUCAGUUCGGAUUGCAGGCUGCAACCCGCCUGCAUGAAGCCGGAAUCGCUAGUAAUCGCGGAUCAGAAUGCCGCGGUGAAUACGUUCCCGGGUCUUGCACACACCGCCCGUCA